rnacentral:rRNA from 1 species
AGAGUUUGAUCAUGGCUCAGAACGAACGCUGGCGGCGUGCUUAACACAUGCAAGUCGAACGAGAAAGCUUUCUUCGGAAAGUGAGUAGAGUGGCGCACGGGUGAGUAACGCGUAGGUAAUCUAUCCUUACAUUUGGGAUAACAUCGGGAAACUGGUGCUAAUACCGAAUGGUCUUCAUUGCUUUGGGGCGAUGGAGUAAAGGUGGCCUCUUCAUGAAAGCUACCGUGUAGGGAUGAGCCUGCGUACCAUUAGCUAGUAGGUGGGGUAAUGGCCCACCUAGGCUACGAUGGUUAGCGGGUCUGAGAGGAUGAUCCGCCACACUGGAACUGAAACACGGACCAGACUCAUACGGGAGGCAGCAGUGAGGAAUAUUGCGCAAUGGGGGAAACCCUGACGCAGCGACGCCGCGUGAGUGAGGAAGGUUUUCGGAUCGUAAAGCUCUGUCAGAAGGGAAGAAGUGUUAUAUGGUUAAUACCCGUAUAAUUUGACGGUACCUUCAGAGGAAGCACCGGCUAACUCCGUGCCAGCAGCCGCGGUAAUACGGAGGGUGCAAGCGUUGUUCGGAAUUACUGGGCGUAAAGGGCGCGUAGGCGGCCUGAUAAGUCAGAUGUGAAAGUCCACGGCUCAACCGUGGAAGUGCAUUUGAAACUGUCAGGCUUGAGUAUCGGAGGGGAGUGUGGAAUUCCCGGUGUAGAGGUGAAAUUCGUAGAGAUCGGGAGGAACACCGGUGGCGAAGGCGACACUCUGGACGAAUACUGACGCUGAAGCGCGAAAGCGUGGGGAGCAAACAGGAUUAGAUACCCUGGUAGUCCACGCCGUAAACGAUGUGAACUAGGGAUAGGGGGUGUUGAUCCCUCCUGUCCCGCAGCUAACGCAUUAAGUUCACCGCCUGGGGAGUACGGUCGCAAGAUUAAAACUCAAAGGAAUUGACGG